UUAAGCGACUAAGCGUACACGGUGGAUGCCCUGGCAGUCAGAGGCGAUGAAGGACGUGCUAAUCUGCGAAAAGCGUCGGUAAGGUGAUAUGAACCGUUACAACCGGCGAUGUCCGAAUGGGGAAACCCAGUGCAAUUCGUUGCACUAUCGUUAACUGAAUACAUAGGUUAACGAGGCGAACCGGGGGAACUGAAACAUCUAAGUACCCCGAGGAAAAGAAAUCAACCGAGAUUCCCCCAGUAGCGGCGAGCGAACGGGGAGCAGCCCAGAGUCUGAAUCAGCUUGUGUGUUAGUGGAACGGUCUGGAAAGUCCGACGGUACAGGGUGAUAGUCCCGUACACCAAAAUGCACAGGUUGUGAACUCGAAGAGUAGGGCGGGACACGUGGUAUCCUGUCUGAAUAUGGGGGGACCAUCCUCCAAGGCUAAAUACUCCUGACUGACCGAUAGUGAACCAGUACCGUGAGGGAAAGGCGAAAAGAACCCCGGCGAGGGGAGUGAAAAAGAACCUGAAACCGUGUACGUACAAGCAGUGGGAGCACCUUCGGGUGUGACUGCGUACCUUUUGUAUAAUGGGUCAGCGACUUAUAUUCUGUAGCAAGGUUAACCGUAUAGGGGAGCCGCAGGGAAACCGAGUCUUAACUGGGCGUUAAGUUGCAGGGUAUAGACCCGAAACCCGGUGAUCUAGCCAUGGGCAGGUUGAAGGUUGGGUAACACUAACUGGAGGACCGAACCGACUAAUGUUGAAAAAUUAGCGGAUGACUUGUGGCUGGGGGUGAAAGGCCAAUCAAACCGGGAGAUAGCUGGUUCUCCCCGAAAGCUAUUUAGGUAGCGCCUCGUGAAUUCAUCUUCGGGGGUAGAGCACUGUUUCGGCUAGGGGGUCAUCCCGACUUACCAACCCGAUGCAAACUACGAAUACCGAAGAAUGUUAUCACGGGAGACACACGGCGGGUGCUAACGUCCGUCGUGAAGAGGGAAACAACCCAGACCGCCAGCUAAGGUCCCAAAGUCAUGGUUAAGUGGGAAACGAUGUGGGAAGGCACAGACAGCCAGGAUGUUGGCUUAGAAGCAGCCAUCAUUUAAAGAAAGCGUAAUAGCUCACUGGUCGAGUCGGCCUGCGCGGAAGAUGUAACGGGGCUAAACCAUGCACCGAAGCUGCGGCAGCGACACUAUGUGUUGUUGGGUAGGGGAGCGUUCUGUAAGCCUGCGAAGGUGUGCUGUGAGGCAUGCUGGAGGUAUCAGAAGUGCGAAUGCUGACAUAAGUAACGAUAAAGCGGGUGAAAAGCCCGCUCGCCGGAAGACCAAGGGUUCCUGUCCAACGUUAAUCGGGGCAGGGUGAGUCGACCCCUAAGGCGAGGCCGAAAGGCGUAGUCGAUGGGAAACAGGUUAAUAUUCCUGUACUUGGUGUUACUGCGAAGGGGGGACGGAGAAGGCUAUGUUAGCCGGGCGACGGUUGUCCCGGUUUAAGCAUGUAGGCUGAUUGUCCAGGCAAAUCCGGAUAAUCAAGGCUGAGGUGUGAUGACGAGGCACUACGGUGCUGAAGUAACAAAUGCCCUGCUUCCAGGAAAAGCCUCUAAGCAUCAGGUAACAUCAAAUCGUACCCCAAACCGACACAGGUGGUCAGGUAGAGAAUACCAAGGCGCUUGAGAGAACUCGGGUGAAGGAACUAGGCAAAAUGGUGCCGUAACUUCGGGAGAAGGCACGCUGGUGUGUAGGUGAAGUCCCUGCGGAUGGAGCUGAGACCAGUCGAAGAUACCAGCUGGCUGCAACUGUUUAUUAAAAACACAGCACUGUGCAAACACGAAAGUGGACGUAUACGGUGUGACGCCUGCCCGGUGCCGGAAGGUUAAUUGAUGGGGUUAUCCGUAAGGAGAAGCUCUUGAUCGAAGCCCCGGUAAACGGCGGCCGUAACUAUAACGGUCCUAAGGUAGCGAAAUUCCUUGUCGGGUAAGUUCCGACCUGCACGAAUGGCGUAAUGAUGGCCAGGCUGUCUCCACCCGAGACUCAGUGAAAUUGAACUCGCUGUGAAGAUGCAGUGUACCCGCGGCAAGACGGAAAGACCCCGUGAACCUUUACUAUAGCUUGACACUGAACAUUGAGCCUUGAUGUGUAGGAUAGGUGGGAGGCUUUGAAGCGUGGACGCCAGUCUGCGUGGAGCCAACCUUGAAAUACCACCCUUUAAUGUUUGAUGUUCUAACGUUGGCCCCUGACCGGGGUUGCGGACAGUGUCUGGUGGGUAGUUUGACUGGGGCGGUCUCCUCCCAAAGCGUAACGGAGGAGCACGAAGGUUAGCUAAUCCUGGUCGGACAUCAGGAGGUUAGUGCAAUGGCAUAAGCUAGCUUGACUGCGAGCGUGACGGCGCGAGCAGGUGCGAAAGCAGGUCAUAGUGAUCCGGUGGUUCUGAAUGGAAGGGCCAUCGCUCAACGGAUAAAAGGUACUCCGGGGAUAACAGGCUGAUACCGCCCAAGAGUUCAUAUCGACGGCGGUGUUUGGCACCUCGAUGUCGGCUCAUCACAUCCUGGGGCUGAAGUAGGUCCCAAGGGUAUGGCUGUUCGCCAUUUAAAGUGGUACGCGAGCUGGGUUUAGAACGUCGUGAGACAGUUCGGUCCCUAUCUGCCGUGGGCGCUGGAGAAUUGAGGGGGGCUGCUCCUAGUACGAGAGGACCGGAGUGGACGCAUCACUGGUGUUCGGGUUGUCAUGCCAAUGGCACUGCCCGGUAGCUAAAUGCGGAAGAGAUAAGUGCUGAAAGCAUCUAAGCACGAAACUUGCCCCGAGAUGAGUUCUCCCUGAGACUUUAAGUCUCCUGAAGGAACGUUGAAGACGACGACGUUGAUAGGCCGGGUGUGUAAGCGCAGCGAUGCGUUGAGCUAACCGGUACUAAUGAACCGUGAGGCUUAACCUU
rnacentral:rRNA from 1 species